rnacentral:rRNA from 1 species
AAACCAACAGGGAUUGCCUUAGUAACGGCGAGUGAAGCGGCAAAAGCUCAAAUUUGAAAUCUGGCACUUUCAGUGUCCGAGUUGUAAUUUGAAGAAGGUAACUUUGGAGUUGGCCCUUGUCUAUGUUCCUUGGAACAGGACGUCACAGAGGGUGAGAAUCCCGUGCGAUGAGGUGUCCAAUUCUAUGUAAAGUGCUUUCGAAGAGUCGAGUUGUUUGGGAAUGCAGCUCUAAGUGGGUGGUAAAUUCCAUCUAAAGCUAAAUAUUGGCGAGAGACCGAUAGCGAACAAGUACAGUGAUGGAAAGAUGAAAAGAACUUUGAAAAGAGAGUGAAAAAGUACGUGAAAUUGUUGAAAGGGAAGGGCUUGAGAUCAGACUCGGUAUUUUGCAAGCCUAUCCUUCGUGGAGAGGUUUAUUAGCAGCUUACCGGGCCAGCAUCGGUUUGGAUGGUAGGAUAAUGGCAUUGGAAUGUGGCUCCUCGGAGUGUUAUAGCCUUUGUUGAUACUGCCUAUCUAGACCGAGGACUGCGUCUUGACUAGGAUGC